GAUGAACGCUGGCGGCGUGCCUAAUACAUGCAAGUCGAGCGAACAGACGCUGAUCUUGCUCCUCUGACGUUUGCGGCGGACGUGUGUGUCACACGUGUAUACCCUACCUAUAAUACUGGGAUAACUUCGGGAAACCGGAUCUAAUCCCGGAUAAUCUCUUGAACCGCAUGGGUCAAUAGUGAAAUACGGUUUUGCUGUCACUUAUAGCUGGUUCCGCGCCGCAUUAGCUAGUAGUUACGGUAACGGCUUACCAAGGCAACGAUGCGUAUCCGACCUGAUAGGGUGAUAGGCCACACUGGAGCGGGGACACCGUCCAGACUCCUACGGGAGGCAGCAGUAGGGUAUCGUCCGCAAUGGGCGAAAGCAUGACGGAGCAACGCCGCGUGUGUGAUGAAGGUCUUCGGAUCGUAAAACUCUGUUAUUAGUGAAGAACAAAUGUGGAAGGAACUAUGGACGUAUUGACGGUACCUAAUCAGAAAGCCACGGCUAACUACGUG
rnacentral:rRNA from 1 species